rnacentral:rRNA from 1 species
GGCCUAAACAUGCAAGUCGAGCGGUUGAGGGGAGCUUGCUCCCUGAUUCAGCGGCGGACGGGUGAGUAAUGCCUAGGAAUCUGCCUAUUAGUGGGGGACAACGUUUCGAAAGGAACGCUAAUACCGCAUACGUCCUACGGGAGAAAGCAGGGGACCUUCGGGCCUUGCGCUAAUAGAUGAGCCUAGGUCGGAUUAGCUAGUUGGUGGGGUAAAGGCUCACCAAGGCGACGAUCCGUAACUGGUCUGAGAGGAUGAUCAGUCACACUGGAACUGAGACACGGUCCAGACUCCUACGGGAGGCAGCAGUGGGGAAUAUUGGACAAUGGGCGAAAGCCUGAUCCAGCCAUGCCGCGUGUGUGAAGAAGGUCUUCGGAUUGUAAAGCACUUUAAGUUGGGAGGAAGGGUUGUAGAUUAAUACUCUGCAAUUUUGACGUUACCGACAGAAUAAGCACCGGCUAACUCUGUGCCAGCAGCCGCGGUAAUACAGAGGGUGCAAGCGUUAAUCGGAAUUACUGGGCGUAAAGCGCGCGUAGGUGGUUUGUUAAGUUGGAUGUGAAAGCCCCGGGCUCAACCUGGGAACUGCAUCCAAAACUGGCAAGCUAGAGUACGGUAGAGGGUGGUGGAAUUUCCUGUGUAGCGGUGAAAUGCGUAGAUAUAGGAAGGAACACCAGUGGCGAAGGCGACCACCUGGACUGAUACUGACACUGAGGUGCGAAAGCGUGGGGAGCAAACAGGAUUAGAUACCUGG